rnacentral:lncRNA from 1 species
GACCUUGGUGGGAUGGCUUCUGGCCGCCCUUACCACGCUUCUUUUGGCGUUUUGGGUGCUGAUUAGUGCUAUAAUGUGCUUCAGGCACAACAGUAGCCCCAGUAGGUCGAGCUUGAUGAUUCUUCAUCAACAGCUGGUUCUGCUUUUCAGCAAGAAGUAAAACAGAGAUCAAAUCCGAGAACUUAGUGAACUUCUAAGCUCUAUAUUGUUGCUGCAGGACAAUAUUAGAAGCAGAGAAGGUCGAGUAGGUCUUCUCCAGGAGAUCCUCUUC